ensembl:lncRNA
UGUGAGAAGAGUGAGAUGAAUUAAAGGGCACUGGUGUACCCUCAGUUUGGGGAUGACUGAUGAUCAGAUGAAAUUUAUCUUGGACAUGCAUAAGAGACUCUCCUUUAGGAAGUAUGCUCCAUGGUUCAGUUACUCACAAGAAGACUGAUGGCUGGAAGAAAACCAACAAAAGCCCAAGCAGGCUAGCAGGAGGUUGGCUGACAAGCCUGUAAAGGGAAGGAGGAGGCUGAAGUCCCACCAGCAUAUGGCAGAGGAGAAAUGGAGACAUCAGCAUCUCGCCGCAAAAUACAUCUUCUCUUAUCUUCUGACAUCACCUGAUUAAACCCUUUACUGCAGGUAAAUUCAUAUUUUUUUACAUGUUUUUAAAGGAUGCUGCUUCGCUAUUUUUCAUCACCUUCCUCUGCAUUAGCCAAAUCUGUUCCCUUCCCCAUUUUUUCUCUGUGUAUUAUGCAGGUCACUAAUGAGUGCUAGGCUGCUGGCAUCGCUUUACUUAUUUAUUAGAAAGAGAAGAGCAGUGAAGCAUUUAAAGCAGUCACAUCCAAAGAGCCAUAAAAAUUUCUGCGGUGACACAAAGUGAGACAGAAAUAAAGUUAGGUCAAGGCACAGGUCUCCCAGACUCUGUUGCUAGACUCAUCUGGACAGAAAACUUGGAGCCUUUUCCUUACUGCAUUUCAAGGCUCUAAGUUCUUAAGGCAGCUUUAAGUUCUUAAAGAUGACUCGGUUGCUGAAGCUGCAUAACGUGAGUAAGAGCAGCGGUGACCCAUGUUCCACCCAAACCCAAGUGGGGAAGGCACAAAUGGCUGAGGGGAGCUGCUCCUCCUGCGUGCUGCUUGGUUUUUGGGAAGAAUAUUAAAAAUAAAAAUGCCAGAUGAAGCCACAUUUCAGUAUUUCUCGGGGCAUGUAAGUGUGCGGUUGCUUAAAGUUUUUGCAUUUAAUUUCUGUCAGCCAUUCUUGAUUAAUUAAUAAAUAUACUGACCCUGCACGUAGCGGGGGGGUUGGAACCAGAUGAUCACUGUGGUCCUUUUCAACCCAGGCCAUUGUAUGGUUCUAUGAUAUCCACUGUGCCUGUUAUAUCACAAAGAUGAAGCAGUCGCAGAUCGUGUGGUUCUUAUGUGUGACCACUGCCGUUGAAAGAGAAAAGGGGGGGGGGGGGGGAAGAAUGGAUUGGGUUGGAUGUAUUUUUAAGCAAGAGAAUUGGUCAUUCCUUAGGUUACAUCGACUGCCUCAGGAGGAAAAGGCAAUUGUUAUAUUUUGCAUUAUUUCCUUUAAGACACUACACAGAAAUAUAAUAAGAAGCCAAAUGCAGAUGUUUGCUGGACACGUCUGGUUCUAUUCAGGGGCUUCAUUGGGCAGUUUUGGCCCCACAGCCUGGUUUUUGUCAUAAGAAAUGUCAGCAAAGUCCCUGAAUUAAUGGGCUGUGAAGUGCUUAGAAACAUACAGUUUCCAAAAAAGUAUACUGCAAGGAUGUGACACUAACGGGAGGCGACCCAUGGGUUUAUGAUAAAAUAGCCCACUGUAACAAAAUAUAUAUAUUAAAAUUGAUGUAUUUCUGAACACGGUAGCUUUGAAUGCAGCAAUACGUAAUGGAGGGGGAAGUGAGGAACGUCAGGGAGCCCCGCUCCAGAGAAAGAUUUCCCAAUGAUUGAGUUAUCCCUGGUUUUGUUUUCCUCAGGAGAAGGGAGCCGCACGCUCCCCGCUGAAGAAGAGGAAAUGCGCCAGGCUCCAUUUUAAUUGGAUAAUUGGAGAAAGAAAGUUAGUAGCAUUGGUGAGCAAUGUCACAUGAACCUAAUUGCCAAAUUCCUGGGUUUGCUUACACGGGUUUGUUUUCUUUUCAUUUCGCUGCUCCCCCCCCCCCAAAAAAAAAAAAAAAAGAAAGAAAGAAAAUAACAAUAAAAAAAU